UCCCGGUUCAAGGGAGUCAAGCAAGCACAAGAUCCUCUCGGUGAGCUUAUUGCCCCUCGGAUCCUUUUGCUUUUUCGUUGGCUUUAGCACCCUAAUUCUAGAAAAUCCGAGAAAUUUGGUGGGGAGUAGUGAUGCUUGUGGAUCGGCGGAGAUGAAUCCGUCUGAAUUCAGGAACCUGAUUCGACAGAAGAAGGGCUAACCUCCUUUUGGUCUCGUCUCAAGUUGACUGUGGAGUGUGAAGUCGUUCUUGCUGAUGGAGAAGCUGAGCUGAGCUUGGAUUCUUUAGCUGUUUAGCACCGGGAGAGCUUUGUUUGUGUAACUACACGAAGAAAAAGAAGAAGAUUCUUUACCUGCUAUUUCUAGAUGUUGAUCUGAUUCGAUUGCCACACAUGCGAUUCUCUUUGCUACAAUUGGAGAACCACGGCUCGCAGGGUUUGUACUUUGGUAGAUUGCAGCACUGGAAGUGUUAAUUGAGAAAGAUAUAAAAAAAUUAGCUAGUUAGGGGUCGAUAUUGAUACAACCUAAUUGAUGCAAUGCAAGUUGUCGAUUUGGAUAUCUCUUAUCUGGUUGUAUUAAUACUUCAGGCUUGGAUUGCAUAGUGGAGCAAAGUACUAGUAGAAUGCUACAGGAGUACCAGGGCUGGUGUAGUAUAUAUCCUAAUGCAGUUCCUUCUUUACCAGAAUGCAACCAUUGUGAGAGCUGCUGCGUCUUCUGCAAUUGCUACUGGAUACCCUUAUUUUUUACAGUUUCAAGUUUGAAUUGUAUAUAUGUGUAGUUUGUUUCUGUGUUGUUGCUAAAAUCCACAAUCUGUAACUGCGGUGUCGCUCACUUCUUGAAGGGCAUCUGGCAUCAAUGCAUGUGUCUCAGAUAUGUGACUGUUAACCAUUUGAUCACUUUUCACUCCCUGCUUCAUUUGAUUCUUAUAAAAUAGAUCACGGCUGCGAAGGAUUUGAUACACAUAAAUAGUGAAUGAUUAUUUGCAAAUACUAAUGUCAUGUUUAGGCGAUAGAUGCUUAUAACUUUCGAACCCUUCCCUGGACCCUGCGCAAGCGGGAGCUACAUGCACCAGGUUGCCCCCUAUUCCUCCGCGAACUAAGAUUAGCAUUACUUGUAG
rnacentral:lncRNA from 1 species